CGGCGCGGUCGUCGCACAGCCCACCGCCCUGUCGCGGUGCCUGGCGCGCCACCUGGGCGGGGAGCGGGGCAGCGGGGGUCCCCCCGGCGUCUGGCCCCCGGCGUCGGGGGCGCUGGCCUUCGUGCCCUCGGGUCGGCGGCCCCCGUCCCCGCUUGUCCCCUCCGCCGACCAGGGUCGUGUGCGCCGGGCCCCGUGUCCUCCCGGCGGCGGCGCGGGCGCUCCGGGCGGGACGGUGUGCGCAUUUCGCGAGGUCGGAGAAGUCUGGUUCACUGUGAAAGUCACUGACGCCAUGCUGGCAGGAUCCUGUCAGGGGAGCGGAGUCUCUGAGCAGCCUGCACUCAAUGAGAUCUUCUGAUAUGCCCCCCGGUACAUAGCUGUAUAUUCUUCGUUGUGGGUCCUUCCAGUUGUGGCAUGUGGGACGCCGCCUCAGCGUGGUCCGACGAGCAGUGCCAUGUCCACGCCUAGGAGUCGAACCAACGAAACACUGGGCCGCCUGCAGCGGAGCGUGCGAACUUAACCACUCGGCCAUGGGGCCAGCGCCUGUCCUCAUUCUUUUUAAUUCUUUUUUCUUUGAUC
rnacentral:lncRNA from 1 species